rnacentral:rRNA from 1 species
AUUAUUUUUUUAGAUUCUUUUUUAUUGUUGAAAAAAUUAAAAACAAAUUGUUUUUUACCAUAAUUAAAAUUUAUAAUAUUUCAAUUUUUAAUUUUUAGUUUUAAAUAAAAAUUACAAAUUUGAAAAAUAAAAAAAU